rnacentral:rRNA from 1 species
AGUGCGGUAGGGGAGACUGGAAUUCCCGGUGUAACGGUGGAAUGUGUAGAUAUCGGGAAGAACACCAAUGGCGAAGGCAGGUCUCUGGGCCGUCACUGACGCUGAGGAGCGAAAGCGUGGGGAGCGAACAGGAUUAGAUACCCUGGUAGUCCACGCCGUAAACGGUGGAUGCUGGAUGUGGGGACCAUUCCACGGUCUCCGUGUCGGAGCCAACGCGUUAAGCAUCCCGCCUGGGGAGUACGGCCGCAAGGCUAAAACUCAAAGAAAUUGACGGGGGCCCGCACAAGCGGCGGAGCAUGCGGAUUAAUUCGAUGCAACGCGAAGAACCUUACCUGGGCUUGACAUGUUCCCGACGACGCCAGAGAUGGGGUUUCCCUUCGGGGCGGGUUCACAGGUGGUGCAUGGUCGUCGUCAGCUCGUGUCGUGAGAUGUUGGGUUAAGUCCCGCAACGAGCGCAACCCUCGCCCCGUGUUGCCAGCAGAUUAUGCCGGGAACUCACGGGGGACCGCCGGGGUUAACUCGGAGGAAGGUGGGGAUGACGUCAGAUCAUCAUGCCCCUUACGUCCAGGGCUUCACGCAUGCUACAAUGGCCGGUACAACGGGAUGCGACCUCGUGAGGGGGAGCGGAUCCCUUAAAACCGGUCUCAGUUCGGAUUGGAGUCUGCAACCCGACUCCAUGAAGGCGGAGUCGCUAGUAAUCGCGGAUCAGCAACGCCGCGGUGAAUGCGUUCCCGGGCCUUGUACACACCGCCCGUCAAGUCAUGAAAGUGGG